rnacentral:rRNA from 1 species
CCGGCGAUGUCCGAAUGGGGAAACCCAGUGCAAUUCGUUGCACUAUCGUUAACUGAAUACAUAGGUUAACGAGGCGAACCGGGGGAACUGAAACAUCUAAGUACCCCGAGGAAAAGAAAUCAACCGAGAUUCCCCCAGUAGCGGCGAGCGAACGGGGAGCAGCCCAGAGUCUGAAUCAGCUUGUGUGUUAGUGGAACGGUCUGGAAAGUCCGACGGUACAGGGUGAUAGUCCCGUACACCAAAAUGCACAGGCUGUGAACUCGAAGAGUAGGGCGGGACACGUGGUAUCCUGUCUGAAUAUGGGGGGACCAUCCUCCAAGGCUAAAUACUCCUGACUGACCGAUAGUGAACCAGUACCGUGAGGGAAAGGCGAAAAGAACCCCGGCGAGGGGAGUGAAAAAGAACCUGAAACCGUGUACGUACAAGCAGUGGGAGCACCUUCGGGUGUGACUGCGUACCUUUUGUAUAAUGGGUCAGCGACUUAUAUUCUGUAGCAAGGUUAACCGUAUAGGGGAGCCGCAGGGAAACCGAGUCUUAACUGGGCGUUAAGUUGCAGGGUAUAGACCCGAAACCCGGUGAUCUAGCCAUGGGCAGGUUGAAGGUUGGGUAACACUAACUGGAGGACCGAACCGACUAAUGUUGAAAAAUUAGCGGAUGACUUGUGGCUGGGGGUGAAAGGCCAAUCAAACCGGGAGAUAGCUGGUUCUCCCCGAAAGCUAUUUAGGUAGCGCCUCGUGAACUCAUCUUCGGGGGUAGAGCACUGUUUCGGCUAGGGGGUCAUCCCGACUUACCAACCCGAUGCAAACUACGAAUACCGAAGAAUGUUAUCACGGGAGACACACGGCGGGUGCUAACGUCCGUCGUGAAGAGGGAAACAACCCAGACCGCCAGCUAAGGUCCCAAAGUCAUGGUUAAGUGGGAAACGAUGUGGGAAGGCACAGACAGCCAGGAUGUUGGCUUAGAAGCAGCCAUCAUUUAAAGAAAGCGUAAUAGCUCACUGGUCGAGUCGGCCUGCGCGGAAGAUGUAACGGGGCUAAACCAUGCACCGAAGCUGCGGCAGCGACACUAUGUGUUGUUGGGUAGGGGAGCGUUCUGUAAGCCUGCGAAGGUGUGCUGUGAGGCAUGCUGGAGGUAUCAGAAGUGCGAAUGCUGACAUAAGUAACGAUAAAGCGGGUGAAAAGCCCGCUCGCCGGAAGACCAAGGGUUCCUGUCCAACGUUAAUCGGGGCAGGGUGAGUCGACCCCUAAGGCGAGGCCGAAAGGCGUAGUCGAUGGGAAACAGGUUAAUAUUCCUGUACUUGGUGUUACUGCGAAGGGGGGACGGAGAAGGCUAUGUUAGCCGGGCGACGGUUGUCCCGGUUUAAGCAUGUAGGCUGGUUGUCCAGGCAAAUCCGGAUAAUCAAGGCUGAGGUGUGAUGACGAGGCACUACGGUGCUGAAGUAACAAAUGCCCUGCUUCCAGGAAAAGCCUCUAAGCAUCAGGUAACAUCAAAUCGUACCCCAAACCGACACAGGUGGUCAGGUAGAGAAUACCAAGGCGCUUGAGAGAACUCGGGUGAAGGAACUAGGCAAAAUGGUGCCGUAACUUCGGGAGAAGGCACGCUGGUGUGUAGGUGAAGCCCCUGCGGGUGGAGCUGAGACCAGUCGAAGAUACCAGCUGGCUGCAACUGUUUAUUAAAAACACAGCACUGUGCAAACACGAAAGUGGACGUAUACGGUGUGACGCCUGCCCGGUGCCGGAAGGUUAAUUGAUGGGGUUAUCCGUAAGGAGAAGCUCUUGAUCGAAGCCCCGGUAAACGGCGGCCGUAACUAUAACGGUCCUAAGGUAGCGAAAUUCCUUGUCGGGUAAGUUCCGACCUGCACGAAUGGCGUAAUGAUGGCCAGGCUGUCUCCACCCGAGACUCAGUGAAAUUGAACUCGCUGUGAAGAUGCAGUGUACCCGCGGCAAGACGGAAAGACCCCGUGAACCUUUACUAUAGCUUGACACUGAACAUUGAGCCUUGAUGUGUAGGAUAGGUGGGAGGCUUUGAAGCGUGGACGCCAGUCUGCGUGGAGCCAACCUUGAAAUACCACCCUUUAAUGUUUGAUGUUCUAACGUUGGCCCCUUACCGGGGUUGCGGACAGUGUCUGGUGGGUAGUUUGACUGGGGCGGUCUCCUCCCAAAGCGUAACGGAGGAGCACGAAGGUUAGCUAAUCCUGGUCGGACAUCAGGAGGUUAGUGCAAUGGCAUAAGCUAGCUUGACUGCGAGCGUGACGGCGCGAGCAGGUGCGAAAGCAGGUCAUAGUGAUCCGGUGGUUCUGAAUGGAAGGGCCAUCGCUCAACGGAUAAAAGGUACUCCGGGGAUAACAGGCUGAUACCGCCCAAGAGUUCAUAUCGACGGCGGUGUUUGGCACCUCGAUGUCGGCUCAUCACAUCCUGGGGCUGAAGUAGGUCCCAAGGGUAUGGCUGUUCGCCAUUUAAAGUGGUACGCGAGCUGGGUUUAGAACGUCGUGAGACAGUUCGGUCCCUAUCUGCCGUGGGCGCUGGAGAAUUGAGGGGGGCUGCUCCUAGUACGAGAGGACCGGAGUGGACGCAUCACUGGUGUUCGGGUUGUCAUGCCAAUGGCACUGCCCGGUAGCUAAAUGCGGAAGAGAUAAGUGCUGAAAGCAUCUAAGCACGAAACUUGCCCCGAGAUGAGUUCUCCCUGAGACUUUAAGUCUCCUGAAGGAACGUUAAAGACGAUGACGUUGAUAGGCCGGGUGUGUAAGCGCAGCGAUGCGUUGAGCUAACCGGUACUAAUGAACCGUGAGGCUUAACCUU